GAAGCCACAAUAAAGAUUCUUGCCCACAGCUCUCUCUCUCUCUAUGCCUCAUAACCAACCCCAACACCUCUUCAAGCAACCCCACUGGAAUGGCAUGCCUAUUGGAAACUCUUCACCACCAGACUGCACCAAAUUUAGAGACUACUCCUGCAGCCUGGGCUCCAGAGGGAGAGGACACAUGGAGUGGAGCUAGGCAGAUGUCCAGAAGCCACAGCCAAGUCAUAGGCAAAGACCAUAUUCUUCACGGACAAAGGAAGGAUGCCUCAGGAACAUAUUCACAUUUAAAGAAAGAAGAGAGGGGGCACCUGAGCGGCUCAGUGGUUGAGUGUCUGCCUUUGGCUCAGGGUGUGUCCCAGGUCCUGGGAUCAAAUUGCAC